rnacentral:rRNA from 1 species
AACGAACGCUGGCGGCGUGCCUAAUACAUGCAAGUUGAGCGCUGAAGGUUGGUACUUGUACCAACUGGAUGAGCAGCGAACGGGUGAGUAACGCGUGGGGAAUCUGCCUUUGAGCGGGGGACAACAUUUGGAAACGAAUGCUAAUACCGCAUAAAAACUUUAAACACAAGUUUUAAGUUUGAAAGAUGCAAUUGCAUCACUCAAAGAUGAUCCCGCGUUGUAUUAGCUAGUUGGUGAGGUAAAGGCUCACCAAGGCGAUGAUACAUAGCCGACCUGAGAGGGUGAUCGGCCACAUUGGGACUGAGACACGGCCCAAACUCCUACGGGAGGCAGCAGUAGGGAAUCGUCGGCAAUGGACGAAAGUCUGACCGAGCAACGCCGCGUGAGUGAAGAAGGUUUUCGGAUCGUAAAACUCUGUUGGUAGAGAAGAACGUUGGUGAGAGUGGAAAGCUCAUCAAGUGACGGUAACUACCCAGAAAGGGACGGCUAACUACGUG